rnacentral:rRNA from 1 species
GAGUUUGAUCAUGGCUCAGGACGAACGCUGGCGGCGUGCUUAACACAUGCAAGUCGAGCGGUAAGGCCCUUUCGGGGGUACACGAGUGGCGAACGGGUGAGUAACACGUGGGUGAUCUGCCCUGCACUUUGGGAUAAGCCUGGGAAACUGGGUCUAAUACCGGAUAGGACUACGAAUCGCAUGGUUUGUGGUGGAAAGCUUUUGCGGUGUGGGAUGGGCCCGCGGCCUAUCAGCUUGUUGGUGGGGUGAUGGCCUACCAAGGCGACGACGGGUAGCCGGCCUGAGAGGGUGUCCGGCCACACUGGGACUGAGAUACGGCCCAGACUCCUACGGGAGGCAGCAGUGGGGAAUAUUGCACAAUGGGCGCAAGCCUGAUGCAGCGACGCCGCGUGGGGGAUGACGGCCUUCGGUUGUAACCC